rnacentral:misc_RNA from 1 species
GAAAUGCGAUACGUAGUGUGAAUUGCAGAAUUCAGUGAACCAUCGAAUCUUUGAACGCACCUUGCGGCCGCCGGCAAUCCGGCGGCCAUGCCCGUCCGAGCGUCGUUUCGACCCUCGGGGCCCCCCCUCAUGCAGGGGCGCGGCCCCGGCCUUGGGCCAGCGCGUGCCGCCCCAGGGCGCCGCGCGGCCCGCAGACCAGCGGCGGCAGCGCCAGCGACGUCCCCUGCGCAGUAGCAAACGCUCGCAUCGGACUCCCGGCGCCGCCCGCCUCGAACCCCCCAAACAAACAGGUCGACCUCGGAUCGGGUAGGGAUACCCGCUAAACUUAA